rnacentral:rRNA from 1 species
AACGAACGUUAGCGGCGCGCUUAACACAUGCAAGUCGCACGAGAAAGGGCUUCGGCCCCGGUAAAGUGGCGCACGGGUGAGUAACACGUGGAUAACCUACCCUUGAGCAGGGGAUAACAUCCCGAAAGGGGUGCUAAUACCGCAUAAGACCACGGCUCCGAAAGGAGCUGAGGUAAAAGCUGGCCUCUAUAUAUAAGCUCGCACUUGAGGACGGGUCCGCGGCGCAUCAGGUAGUUGGCGGGGUAAUGGCCCACCAAGCCUUAGACGCGUAGCUGGUCUGAGAGGAUGAUCAGCCACACUGGAACUGAGACACGGUCCAGACUCCUACGGGAGGCAGCAGUGGGGAAUCUUGCGCAAUGGACGAAAGUCUGACGCAGCGACGCCGCGUGUGUGAUGAAGGCCUCGU